GUGAAUCAUCGAAUUUUUGAACGCAAAUUGCACCCUCUGGUAUUCCGGAGAGUAUGCCUGUUUGAGGGUCAGUUUAAAUAAAAAUCGGUGUGGUUGCUGCCUUUCGAGGUGAGGCACCGGAUUUGGGUCGUCUUGGCUUAGGAUAAGUGACCUAAAAUAUUGAAUGAUUUUUUUCGAACGUAUUGAAAUGACUGUACGGACGUUUGCGAUAUCGAAUACUAGGUGUGGUCAUA
rnacentral:misc_RNA from 1 species